rnacentral:rRNA from 1 species
AUUGAACGCUGGCGGCAUGCCUUACACAUGCAAGUCGAACGGCAGCACGGGUGCUUGCACCUGUUGGCGAGUGGCGAACGGGUGAGUAAUACAUCGGAACAUGUCCUGUAGUGGGGGAUAGCCCGGCGAAAGCCGGAUUAAUACCGCAUACGAUCUACGGAUGACAGCGGGGGGCCUUCGGGCCUCGCGCUAUAGGGUUGGCCGAUGGCUGAUUAGCUAGUUGGUGGGGUAAAGGCCUACCAAGGCGACGAUCAGUAGCUGGUCUGAGAGGACGACCAGCCACACUGGGACUGAGACACGGCCCAGACUCCUACGGGAGGCAGCAGUGGGGAAUUUUGGACAAUGGGCGAAAGCCUGAUCCAGCAAUGCCGCGUGUGUGAAGAAGGCCUUCGGGUUGUAAAGCACUUUUGUCCGGAAAGAAAUCCUUGGCCCUAAUACGGUCGGGGGAUGACGGUACCGGAAGAAUAAGCACCGGCUAACUACGUG